CAGGUGACACUGUUUGAAGCCCUCUGUCUCUUGACUUGACAAUAACAAGUUAUCGACGCUGCGAGUAAGCUUUAUUUGUCGAACAAAAAUAAGCUAGUAGUAUUUGCACGUGAUUGGGCAAAUUAGUCAAGACGGGCGCUCUUUGCUGCGUGGCCGCUAGGCCACAUGGGACAAAGUCUAAUCCUGCUAGCAGAGACUGUUCCAUGGAUCCUACAGAGCCUCGUUGGCGGAUGAAUUCGAGCUUCUCUCCUCCGUCGCGGGGAUGGGACUGCAUGUACUCAUCAGACGGAUUGCCUCAUAGGACUCCUGAUGCUCCACAUGAUCAUCCACCUUAUGUGUCAUCACUAUCAUCACAUAGUAAAGGAAGUAGAAGUGCAUUUGGCAGUGACCAGUACCUGAAUCACCACCACUCUGUAUCUGAUGGAGCACUUUCUUAUUUUGGUAGUCCUGUUGACAGCCUUCAGGCUCCACGUUGGACACCCUCUCUGCAAAGAUUUGAUCUUGGCGAGUUCUCUACACCUGGAGGAGGACCGAAACCUGAAAGUUCCGAUCUCCAAUCCAGCGAGAGACAUUUAACUGCUGUGAGCAGUUUCAGUUCUGCAUCCCCAUUCUCGGAAACAAGUCAGCUGGCAGCUUCUGGUAAACGACCAGCUUCACAUCUACCUCGCAAUCAUCUGGGAAGGCGAUCCUUUAUGUCAACACCAGUCUACCCGCUAGUCUUCCGCAAUCCAGUGUCAGAAGCAGAAGCCUCAGGGGUGGCUGAGGCUAGUAAUGCUGGGCGUACCACACCGAGUGAUGACAGCCUGGCUUCUCCUGUGUGGAGGCGCAGUUUGGCGAGUCCUGAGCUCAAGUUCCAUGACACACUGAGUGAACUUCGGAAGAUGGAGGCUUCUCCUGAGCCUAACACGAGCUCUAGGAGGGAAGGAUUCAGAUGGAGCAGUGCUAGCAGCUAUGAUUUUAGAUAUGAUGGUGAUGCCAUUGACAUUUCAGACCAUAUCAGUAUUGACUCCCAAAGAUCCCCAACAAGUUCAACGAGUUUCCUGAAAUGUGGCUUAUGCGAGAGAUUCCUCAGGCAGAAGUCGCCAUGGAGCUCAAACCGGAUAGUUCGAAAUACCAAUAUGCCAGUAGCAGCAGUCCUCCCAUGCCGUCAUGUCUUCCACGCAGACUGCCUGGAGGAAAGUACUCCGAGGAGUGAAGCCCAUGAACCACCUUGCCCGCUGUGCACGCGAGCUCCCGAUAGUGAAGGAUGUGUAUCAUUCUCGGAGCCUCUUCACGCCGCGCUCAGAUCCGCUCGCAGGAAUCAUGGCAUUCGUUUUUCUUCUGGUGAUGCGGGUGGUAGCAGCAGCAGCGCAAACCCUUCUCGCAACGACCACGUGUUGAAGAGAAAUCAGUCUGCGCUCGCGCCUGCGCGCAGCGGCUCGCUGUUCCGGAACCGUUUCAAGAAGCAGUUCCCCUUCAAGGGGAGGCUCGGGAAGGACCUCUUUGGUGGCAGGGUUUUCAGGAAGGUCGGCUCGUCGUCGUCUUCGGGGGGCCAAAAGGACGACCGUCAGCUGCCAGCAGCUAAUAAGCCUGACCGAUCCAUGGAGUAAGUAAGCUAGAGCGAAGGCGCGCCUCUAUAUUGUUCGCCGCCGUUACUCUACCCUUGUACCGUGUCCAAAUCCGUAGUAGAUGUAUCCAUAAACAUGAAAUGCAGUGCCAGUGCGCUGCGAGUACUCAGUCCAGGACGGAGCUUGUUUGUUUUGUUUGGACGGUGCCUGCCUUGGAUGUGGCACCAUGAGUGCGUGAACUAACUGUGCUGUGCUUUCAUCAUGACUCGUUUUGCCGCCUGUUGUUUUGUUUGGAGCAUGCUAUAUUGAAAACCGGCAGGUCCGGCUCUGGAGUAUUGACAGACGAGAACAGCUAUCGUUUGCCAUUGUUGUGCUUUGUUUCCCGUGGCCGUGGGUGUCCAUGUUUAAUAGCUGGUGCACAUGCAUUCCAUCGUUGAACGGUUUACAUCUUUGUGGCAAGUUGGUGGUGGCAUCAAGUUCUGGGGUGAAAACCCGAAGUCUGGCUUUCAUUGGUUGUACCGAACGUCUAGUCUGCUCGGACUCUCUUCCCUGAGUGAAAAUCCAUGAUCUGAUUCAUAUGGUUGGAUCUGACGGCGAUGGUGUUCAUGCACCGAUAUCUCCCUAGAGGUGUCACAGUUUGGGAUCUUGUGGUAAUGGUGCUGCCUACGGCGGUGGUAGUUGUUAAUGUUAAUGUUGCAAUAGGUUGUUCGUCUCGCCUUGACCUUUUCAGGUUGUUCCUUUUCCUUCUCAAUGUGUGCAGUCUUGAUUACUUGAGUAGCUCUGGAUAUCCUGUUGUUGCAAAAGUAAGAUUUAAUUUGUACUCGUAUCAACUUUUGAUAUUAAUAUAUUAUUU
rnacentral:rRNA from 1 species